UCCAGCAUUAUACACAUCGGCAGUGAAUUGGCAGAGUAAAUGCAAAAUCCACUUUAUUUUAUACUUUUUAAUUGCAUAUUUUACUAAAAUAUUAAUAAGAGUUACAAACUAAUGGACGAGUGCAUGUGUAGGAUGUAGGAUUAAAUUGGUAAAAAUAUGUAUUUAUUUCUGAUUUCUGUAUCAUUCACACGGCCAUCUUUACAUCAAAACCUUGAAGUCAAAUCAACGUCAGUCACGAUGUCAACUGCGAUACGGUGUUGAUGUGAAAAGAAGGGCGAUUUUCGGCUGUCGACAGGAGAGCAGAACUCAACACUAACACUAACACCACUCAACAUGGGAAGGUAUAAAUAUCCAUUUUUAUUACACCAGCCCCUGUUUCGAUGCUUUCAGAUGAGGGUUCUUCAAUCGAGCAAACUGAGUGUGCUCCGCGUCACCGCUGAAUAUCCUUUUAAAAAUAUCAUGGCGUUUGCGCACAACGUGUCUCGUACCACAGGUAUUUGUAUUGGUGGCACAUUUUCCUAUAUCCUGUUGAAAAUGCUUGUUUUGAGCAAGGGGGAUGUCCUAACUGCAACACAAAUACAAACAAACCGUGCUUUUUCCUGGUUAUGUCAAUCUUGUGCACGCUUCUUUUAGCGGCAAAUUUAGCAUCAGGUAUAUUUUCUUACUUUUCACUAGAAACGCUCUGUGAAGUUUGUUUUUAGUUAAAUUGUUAAUUGUUUCACGAUUAUAUUAAACAUGUGAAUAGCUAGCUAAAUUACAUGCAGAAUCAUGGACUUUCAGGAAAAAUAAUCGUUAGGCUGCAUUUUUCUGUGCAAAAGUAAUUUAAUUUCAGCAGUCUUUAUGGUAGUUUUACUGUUUUAUAAAUGUUUAUUUCUCUCAUUUUAGCUGUGUCAGCUAAAAUUGGUGAAUCUGUAAUUCUAUGAAUACUAAUUAAACCAACAAAAAAAUACACCUUCCAACAUUGUUCUAAACAUUCUCAAUUUAUUAUGAUGCAAACACAGCCUCAAAGACAGCUCAGUUUUUUUUUUCGUUUUUAUACUUUUAAGUUUCAAAUGUUCUUUUCCAAAGUUUUUAUGGAGAAUAAAAGCGGCACUUUUAUUUUUCAAACAAUCUUUGAAGAAACUCAUCCCUCUUUUUUUAAAAAAAGGAAAGGAAAAAAAUACACGUGAUUUUUUAGUUUUCUAGUACAACUUUUGCUAGAGUUUAUAUGUUUUAUUGCUGUUGUGUUACACGUAAAUGGCUUACGGCUACAGAUUAUUAAAAUACAGCAAUGAUAAUCGUAGUUGUAAUUGAUGCAAAUAAUGUCUGUUAGUUUUUUCCACAGGUUUAAUCUGUAUUUAAAUUAAUCAUUUAGUGCCAUUAACUCUUAUUUAAACAGGAUCAUCUUUUCGUCGAUUUAUGUUCUACAUCUACCCUGUAGAUCCGAAUUUGUUUGAAUAUAAACAAGCGACAAAUUCGGUUCUAGAGAGGUUUGUGUGGGGCAUUUGAAAACAGCAUCAAAAUAACCACAAGUGAGUAGAAUCGACGAAAGGAACACUUUUCUUCGAAAAUUACAGGAUGUUUGUUACCUCUUCCGGGCCGAAUAUGCAGAUGCUUUAGUUUUGUACAAUGUUGGAAUUGGAAACAGUAAGAAUCAUUUUUAAAAUGCUUUGGUAGUUAUAAAAAAGUGCGGUAUGUUGCAUGUUGUAAAAUAAAUAAAUAAAUAAA